AUCUUUGAUUGAAGUCUCUCCUUUCACAAUCUGAUUUCACAGAGACAGAAGAAUCAUGUCUGGCAGAGAAGGUGGCAAGAAGAAGCCUCUGAAGGCCCCCAAAAAGAAGCAAGAUGAAGAAGAUGAAUCUGAUGUUGCCUUCAAGCAAAAGCAAAGGGAAGAGCAGAGAGCUAUGAAGGAGGCAGCUGCCAAGGCAGCAGGCAAAGGACCUAUGACGUCUGGUGGCAUUAAAAAGUCUGGCAAGAAAUGACCCAGGUUCUUCACGAUCCUUUAUCAUCAUCGUUCAUCGUCUGCAUGCUGUCACUUCAUCUCUCACAUAGUCUCUCAGUUUGAGCAUUUAUUCUUGUACAUGUAAUGUGUUGUACAAUAUUCAGAAUCAGCAUGUCAUCAAAUUUUUCCUUUGUUGGUUUUGAAAAGAAUAAAGACUGAUGCCUCUGCCUGCA